ensembl:snRNA U6 U6 spliceosomal RNA
GUACUCUCUUUGGCAGCAUGUAUACUGAAAUUGAAAUGACACAGAGGAGAUUAGCAUGGCCCCUGUGCAACGAUGACACGCAAAUUUGUGAAGCGUUCCAUAUAAUA